rnacentral:lncRNA from 1 species
UUCCUUCUGGAACAUCAAGCCUAUGUCCUUUCCUCUACAAAGUCAGUGCUACAACAUGGUGGCAGAUUUUCUAGACUGUUAAAGGUCGGCAUUUCUUGGCCAUCUAGAAAACAUAUUCAGGAAAAAAACCCCAAAACCUUAAAUGUGAAAAAUCACUGCAGCAUCUUCUGGAUGAUUCAGCAAUGUAAUCAGUGUCUUUCCCUGAAUCAUGACUUACAGAAAAGAAAGAAAAAAAAAGCAAGUUCUACUGAAGGUCAACAAGAUAGUUAUAGAAAGAUCAAGGCUUAGAUGCAACUAGAUGAAGGACUCCAAUGAAGAUGUGAUUUCUUUUCUUUAUCCAAUGCAACAGCAAUCAUGCCCAGGUGAGUUUCCCCUUACUUUCAUGUAGCCUGGGUCAUGUGUUCCACCUCUGCGAGUCUUGGGAUACAGUUCACUCACCUGCCAAGUCCACUACUUAUGCUAAUCCUUGGAGUCAGAGUGGAGUCCGCCCACCUGAAUCAUAUUGAGUCAAGGUGAUUUCCUUCUUGGAAACAGGAUGCCGGAACCAGAUGAACAAGAGUUGGGCAAUAAUCCAACAUAUAAGAGAAGUCUGUAUUAUCUCAUUCCUAAAUGAGAUAGAAAAUUAAACCUGAAUUUAUAUACCUUGUCUACAUGAAAUAUAU